rnacentral:misc_RNA from 1 species
GAUGAAGAACGUAGCAAAAUGCGAUAAGUAAUGUGAAUUGCAGAAUUCAGUGAAUCAUCGAAUCUUUGAACGCACAUUGCGCCCCUUGGUAUCCCGAGGGGCAUGCCUGUUCGAGCGUCAUUUCACCACUCAAGCCUGGCUUGGUGUUGGGCGACGUCCCCUUUGGGGACGCGCCUUGAAACGCUCGGCGGCGUGGCACCGGCUUUAAGCGUAGCAGAAUCUUUCGCUUUGGAAGUCGGGGCCCCGUCUGCCGGAAGACCUACUCGCAAGGUUGACCUCGGAUCAGGCAGGGAUACCCGCUGAACUUAAGCAUAUCAAUAAGCGGAGGA